rnacentral:tRNA from 1 species
GUCAGUGUAGCUCAGGUGGUUAGAGCACGAGAUUCAUACCCUCGAGGUCGGUGGUUCAAGUCCACCCACUGAUACCA